rnacentral:rRNA from 1 species
AUGCAAGUCGAGGGGCAUCAGGAAGAAAGCUUGCUUUCUUUGCUGGCGACCGGCGCACGGGUGAGUAACACGUAUCCAACCUGCCCUUUACUCGGGGAUAGCCUUUCGAAAGAAAGAUUAAUACCCGAUAGUAUAAUUAGACCGCAUGGUCUUAUUAUUAAAGGAUUCCGGUAAAGGAUGGGGAUGCGUUCCAUUAGGUUGUUGGUGAGGUAACGGCUCACCAAGCCUUCGAUGGAUAGGGGUUCUGAGAGGAAGGUCCCCACAUUGGAACUGAGACACGGUCCAAACUCC